rnacentral:rRNA from 1 species
UACGUAGGGGGCUAGCGUUGUCCGGAUUUAUUGGGCGUAAAGCGCGUGUAGGCGGUUCGGUAAGUCCGCUGUGAAAGUCGGGGGCUCAACCCUCGGAAGCCGGUGGAUACUGUCGGGCUAGAGUGCGGAAGAGGCGAGUGGAAUUCCUGGUGUAGCGGUGAAAUGCGCAGAUAUCAGGAGGAACACCAAUUGCGAAGGCAGCUCGCUGGGACGUUACUGACGCUGAGACGCGAAAGCGUGGGGAGCAAACAGG